AGCUCAAUGCUUUUUGGAAUUCCACCACAUUUGGCACAUUUACAUUGAUUUUACUUGAGGAGAGUGGAGAGCAUUCUUCAUUGUUCCCAGCCUAACCUCACAGUCCUGUGGGUAACCGCCAUGCUCACUCUGAUUUCUUUGCUAUAGAGUGUCCAACCAGCAUGUUUGAUUAACUCUGCAGGGCGCGUUACACUCAGAGCUGUCAGACUUGACUGUAGCAAUGAAAAGGUGUGACUCAACCGAGAGAAAUCAAACAUGCCACCCCCUCCUUCUCUUAUCGCACAUGUAAAUAUCACUGAUUUUUAUUUUCCUCUUUUUACUUUUAUUACAGAGUUGUUUAUAUCGUAUUUCUCCCAUCACCCUGUCUAUGAAGAAGUCUUAGUUUGUGCAUUGUUGUAAAUAAGUUUCUUUUCUUUUUUUCACAAUUCAAAAUGUAAAUACUGCAAAGGAAGAAAAAACAAUCUGCCUACCCCUCAUAUUUGUUGAUGAUCUUUCUCUCUCUCUUUCUUGUAGUCCAGAGGAAGUUGUAAAGGAUCUGUUAGCGGGUUCAAGGGUUCUGUUUCAAAAUGCUUUGUUUCUGUUCAGCACAAACAUUAUCAUCUUGGUUUUAAAUCUGGCCAAGGAUAUAUGACCCUGCUCAUUUAAAUCUACUGCUGUGGUCUAUAGUCUAAUAAACACAAAAUUGACUCCAGAUCACAUUUGACAGGCUGCCGAUUCUCCACAAGAGGGAGCUGUACAGUCAUUGUUAGACAAGUUCUCCUCAUGUCAACUAAGUAAAAUGUACAAGAAUCUUUACCCUUUUUUAUGCUUUUGCCUUGGUAACAUCCUGCUCCUUCAUUGUACUAUUGAAAUCCCUCCUUCCGUCUCUCCACAGUAAGCAGGAGGCAGACAGUCACAGUCAGAUCAAUGUGAACACCAUUCCUGAAAAAAAAAUGUUAAACUGACAAACAUCUUGCAUUAAAAUAAUACUCUUAAAGCUCAAAAACAUCCCAAACAGCCACUAUAAAAAAAGAAAAGAAAUGGCCUCAAGCAGAGUUGAUUACCAAACUGCGGAGGGCUAGUUAAUUUUCAGACCAAGUCUUCUACCCCAAUUUAGCAAUUUUAUCAGAUGUCACGCAGCUCUUCUACAAGCCACAACAUGCAUUAAUGCGUAUAAUUGCUGUACUUGUUUUCUUUUUCUGCCACAUUGUUGUUUUUUCCCAUGUUGGAACAGAACUUAGUGUGUUGUGACAGAUUGCAAUAUGAUUACUGUGCAGUAUUGAGAAAAAAUGUUUCAGCUACAGGUGACUGGGAUUUUCAAAGAAAGUUGCUGUCUCAUCAUGUCUGACUUGAUCACAAAAGUGUUUAGUUGGACUAGAAAUGCCACAGUAUGAUGUCCAGCUUGUACUUAACACGGGCAUUUCAUAUAAUGUGCCCUAUGGCAUUCAGAAUUGCUGCUAAUGAUCACAAGACGGCAGAAAUAGACAUUGUGUUGUGACUGCAUACAGUGUCACCUGUCUGUGCACGUGUUAGUUGAGAGGCAACACGCAAAAAUGUUGACUGACAGUUUCAAGUAAACCAAAUCUCAGAAAUUGUACUUUUUGUUUGUGUUUUAAAAUUCUCUUAAAGCUCAGUUGUUUGUUGACAUUACCUCCCUUGUGUAACUGAGGGAGAAUACUGCUUCUAUGUAUAAGUUAAUGCGUCACUUUUAUUAGCUAUUUUUACUCCAGUGCUGUUCACUUUGGUGUCAUCCUGCCCUGGUGGACUGAUGUGUUGGAGUGAUAGACUGAGAAGGAGAGAGAAAGAAACACAAACCUGUCCGUCUCUGUUCUGUGUAUGUAUGAUAUGGACUCAUUUACUGUAAUAAAGUGAUGAAACUGUG